rnacentral:rRNA from 1 species
GCGCCAGACUCCUACGGGAGGCAGCAGUGAGGAAUAUUGGUCAAUGGGCGAGAGCCUGAACCAGCCAAGUCGCGUGAGGGAAGACGGUCCUAUGGAUUGUAAACCUCUUUUGCCGGGGAGCAAAAAGCGGUACGUGUACCGCAUCGAGAGUACCCGGAGAAAAAGCAUCGGCUAACUCCGUGCCAGCAGCCGCGGUAAUACGGAGGAUGCGAGCGUUGUCCGGAAUCAUUGGGCGUAAAGCGUUCGUAGGCGGUAAAGUAAGUCAGAUGUUAAAGCCCGGGGCUCAACUCCGGUUCGGCAUUUGAUACUACUUGACUAGAAUGCGGUAGAGGUAAGGGGAAUUCCUGGUGUAGCGGUGAAAUGCGUAGAUAUCAGGAGGAACAUCGGUGGCGAAAGCGCUUUACUGGGCCGUUAUUGACGCUGAGGAACGAAAGCCAGGGUAGCAAACGGGAUUAGAUCCCCG